CGUGGCGUAGCCAAGUCUGGUCAAGGCACACGGCCCAUAACCGUGCAUCCGCUGGUUCAAAUCCAGCCGCCACGA
rnacentral:tRNA from 1 species